GAUGAACGCUGGCGGCGUGCCUAAUACAUGCAAGUUGAGCGAACAGACGAGGAGCUUGCUCCUCUGACGUUAGCGGCGGACGGGUGAGUAACACGUGGAUAACCUACCUAUAAGACUGGGAUAACCUCGGGAAACCGGAGCUAAUACCGGAUAAUAUAUUGAACCGCAUGGUUCAAUAGUGAAAGACGGUUUUGCUGUCACUUAUAGAUGGAUCCGCGCCGCAUUAGCUAGUUGGUAAGGUAACGGCUUACCAAGGCAACGAUGCGUAGCCGACCUGAGAGGGUGAUCGGCCAAACUGGAACUGAGACACGGUCCAGACUCCUACGGGAGGCAGCAGUAGGGAAUCUUCCGCAAUGGGCGAAAGCCUGACGGAGCAACGCCGCGUGAGUGAUGAAGGUCUUCGGAUCGUAAAACUCUGUUAUUAGGGAAGAACAAAUGUGUAAGUAACUAUGCACGUCUUGACGGUACCUAAUCAGAAAGCCACGGCUAACUACGUGC
rnacentral:rRNA from 1 species